AAAUAUACCAUCUGAUCUGAUCAUGCCUUAUAGAUCCAUUUGUGAAACGAAGAAGUGAAAAAAUGAGAUUAAAUUUAUGUCAUCCCCUGCACUGUGGGUGUGCUGACUCUUGCAAUUUCCCCAAAUGCGGGAAACUCGACUGCAUAAUUUGUGGUAGUGGGGGACUACGUUUGUGCUCUCCCCUG
rnacentral:snRNA from 9 species